rnacentral:rRNA from 1 species
GUCGGUAAAACUCGUGCCAGCCACCGCGGUUAUACGAGAGGCCCAAGUUGAUAGAUGCCGGCGUAAAAAGUGGUCAGUAUAAUAUUACACUAAAGCCAAACACCUUCAAAGCUGUCAUACGCAAUCGAAGGCAGGAAGCUCUUCCACGAAAGUGGCUUUAAGUCAUACAAUCCACGAAAGCUAGGAAACAAACUGGGAUUAGAUACCCCACUAUG